CAGGUGCUGUCGCUGCCCUAGGCAUGCCGGGGAAGAGAGGAGGGCAGGUAUCUUCCGGGCGGCCUCUGGAGUCAAAUCAAGACUUGAGGUACCCUGGGCAGGCUUGUAGCCACAGCUUGGAAGCGGCAGCACCGAAGCGCACACAUUGAGAACGUCUCAACGUCCACGUCCGACCGAGGAUGGAUUUUGUCUGCUUGUCUUCCAAAAGCUAAGUGUCGGGGCCAGUGGUUGGGAGAAGGGGAAAAGCCUUUACUAUCACAGGAGGCAAUCUGAUGUCAGCUUAGCGGAGAGGUCUGUAGUGGGACAGGCUCCCUGGAAGUAAAGGGAGAGGGUUUCUCCUCAGCCUCACCAGAGCCUUUGCCGGGCAGGGCAAUUCCUACCCAUCUCCACAUUCUCGUGAACUUUGUGUCAUCAGCCUUCUUCGACUUGACGUCGUCACGGCUCUUUCCCCCGUGGAGCUCGCCUUCAGGUCCGGAGCUGUAGCU